GCACUAUUGUCAAUCCACCCUGUGAGUGAAUCACUCCACCCCCAUCUUUCAAGUCGAAAGCUGUAUCACUUCGCAUCAAGACAGCGAGAGAAAUAAAUCUAACAAUUUCCUCAACCGCCGCCGACAUGUCAUCCACCAGCGAGAGCAGGUACACCUAUGAGCAGUACAAGGAGACAGCUGAUUGGCUGCUGGAGCGUACACAGCACAUGCCCAAGGUGGCCAUCAUCUGUGGUUCUGGACUGUGAGGGCUGGCAGACUUACUGGAGAAUAGUGUAGCCUUCCCUUAUAAAGACAUCCCUCACUUCCCUCAGAGCACAGGCCGGUGGUGGCUGGCCUGCUCCAGGAGUCUGAGGUGCGGGAGGUUCUUCUAGACAUCGGGGGGGCCCCGGCGUACUCCGUUCGCUCCAUACUGGAUUUGAGGCAUCGGGUGAGGGGCCUUCAGUAUCUCGUGGAGUGGGAGGGCUAUGGUCCGGAGGAGAGGCGCUGGGUUCCGGUCGAGGGCGUUCAGCAGUCGAAGUCACCGGCCUUCUAGCCAUCGCUGAUCCACUUUUCAUUUUCCAUUGGUUUUGUCUUGUCUUCCAUCACACCUGGUUCCAAUUCCAUCAAUGACAUGUUGUGUAUUCCCCCUUGUUUGACCCAUUUAUUGUAUUGUUCUGUUGAUGGUGGUUUAUGUUCAUUAAACAACACUGUUGUAAAUCA